AAGUAAAUUUUAUGAUACAAUUUUUAAGUUUGGUUACAUCCCAAAUUGGAUUUUUCUUUGUUGGCAGGGAAAGGGAGAGUUGAUGAAAUAUUCUAGCUGCUUCUCUGAGCUAAGGCUAAAGGUUUUCUUCUUUGUUGUUUUCUUUAUCACAUGUUUGGUAAUUUAGGGACACACAUCACCACCAAAUAACAGAUUAUAUGCCAAUUUUCCAUUUUGGCUUUGCUUUUUUUCCUGCAUAGCACAGGGACGAGGGGGUCAGGCUUGGGCCGACAUCGCGGGGACAGGGGUGGC
rnacentral:lncRNA from 1 species